rnacentral:rRNA from 1 species
AUGGACCCCUUCUUCGCCGCCGACGACGGCAGCGCCGCGGACGACCUCCAGCGCACCGCCUCCCACCCCUUCGACGACGCCGAGGACGACGCCACCGAUGCCGCGGCCGCCGACGGCGGCGCGGGAGGGUACGCCUCCUUCGCGGACGCAGGGUACUCCUCCUUCGCCGACGCCGGCCCCGAGGAGGAGGUGGACGAGGAGAUCGCCGUGGACUCCGACGGCGGAGCCGUCCCGGUCCGCCACGUUUCCGGCGGGUACGCCCCCGCGGCCUUCUUCCCCGACUCGGACUUCGGGGGCGGGGACGACGACGGCCCCGUCCUGCCGCCGCCGGCCGAGAUGGGCCGGGAGGAGGGGGUCCUCCUCCGCGAAUGGCGCAGGCAAAAUGCUCUAGUUCUCGAGGAAAAAGAACGGAAGGAGAAGGAGCUCCGUGCCCAAAUAAUUGCAGAAGCUGAAGAGUUCAAGAUAGCUUUCAAUGAGAAGAGGAUACAGACCUGUGAGACGAAUAAGGUCCAUAGCAGGGAAAGAGAGAAGAUUUUCGUUGAAAGCCAGGAGAAAUUCCAUGCUAGCGCAGACAAGCAGUACUGGAAAUCAAUCUCGGAGCUAAUCCCACAUGAAAUCGCUACCAUCGAGAAGCGGGGCAAGAAAGACAAGGACAAGAAGCCAUCCAUCGCAGUCAUUCAGGGUCCCAAGCCCGGCAAGCCCACCGACCUCUCCCGGAUGCGUCAGGUCCUAGUGAAGCUCAAGCAUGCUCCGCCGCCGCACAUGAUGCAACCUCCACCAGCCCCUGCUGCCAAGGAAGGCGCCAAGGAAGGUGCAGAAGACGGCGCACCAGCACCAGCAAACGGAGCCAAGCAGCCCGCAGAGAGCAAAGAAGCACCCGCCAACGGCCCUGCCGCAGAGACGGAGAAGGAGCAGCCUGCAGCAUCAGAGUAG